rnacentral:rRNA from 1 species
AGGAGUUUGAUCAUGGCCUCAGAACGAACGCUGGCGGCAGGCCUAACACAUGCAAGUCGAACGCCGUAGCAAUACGGAGUGGCAGACGGGUGAGUAACGCGUGGAACAUGCCCUUUGGUUCGGAAUAACUCAGGGAAACUUGAGCUAAUACCGGAUAAGCCCGAGAGGGGAAAGAUUUAUCGCCGAAGGAUUGGCCCGCGUCCGAUUAGCUAGUUGGUGAGGUAAUGGCUCACCAAGGCGACGAUCGGUAGCUGGUCUGAGAGGAUGAUCAGCCACACUGGGACUGAGACACGGCCCAGACUCCUACGGGAGGCAGCAGUGGGGAAUAUUGGACAAUGGGCGCAAGCCUGAUCCAGCCAUGCCGCGUGAGUGAUGAAGGCCCUAGGGUUGUAAAGCUCUUUCGCCAGGGACGAUAAUGACGGUACCUGGAUAAGAAGCCCCGGCUAACUUCGUG